rnacentral:rRNA from 1 species
AGAGUUUGAUCCUGGCUCAGGGUGAACGCUGGCGGCGUGCCUAAGACAUGCAAGUCGAACGGGUUGGUAACAACACCGUGGCGGACGGGUGAGUAACGCGUGGGUGACGUGCCCUGGAGUUGGGGACAACCAAGCGAAAGUUUGGAUAAUCCCCGAUGGUGAUGCAGCUCCUGUGCUGUAUCUAAAGAUUUAUCGCUCCAGGAUCGGCCCGCGUCCUAUCAGGUAGUUGGUGGGGUAACGGCUCACCAAGCCAACGACAGGUAACUGGUCUGAGAGCACGACCAGUCACAGGAGCACUGAGACACGGGCUCCACUCCUACGGGAGGCAGCAGUUAGGAAUAUUCGUCAAUGGGGGAAACCCUGAACGAGCGACGCCGCUUGAAGGACGAAGCCUUUCGGGGUGUAAACUUCUGAACUCGGGACGAUAAUGACGGUACCGAGCUAAUAGCACCGGCUAACUCCGUGCCAGCAGCCGCGGUAAUACGGAGGGUGCGAGCGUUACCCGGAUUUACUGGGCGUAAAGGGCGUGUAGGCGGUUUGUUAAGUCCGAUGUGAAAGACCGGGGCUCAACCCCGGGAACGCGUUGGAUACUGACAGACUAGACGGCUGGAGGGGGUAGCGGAAUUUCCGGAGUAGCGGUGAAAUGCGCAGAUACCGGAAGGAACGCCAAUAGCGAAGGCAGCUACCUAGACAGCACGUGACGCUGAGGCGCGAAAGCAUGGGGAGCAAACCGGAUUAGAUACCCGGGUAGUCCAUGCCCUAGACGAUGAGUGCUGGGUGUCCGGCGUAUGCUGGGUGCCGAAGCUAACGCGUUAAGCACUCCGCCUGGGAAGUACGGUCGCAAGACUGAAACUCAAAGGAAUUGACGGGGCCCCGCACAAGCGGUGGAGCAUGUGGUUUAAUUCGAAGGAACGCGCAGAACCUUACCAGGCCUUGACAUCUGGGGAAUCCCGCUGAAAGGUGGGAGUGUCCGCAAGGAAGCCCCAAGACAGGUGCUGCAUGGCUGUCGUCAGCUCGUGUCGUGAGAUGUUGGGUUAAGUCCCGCAACGAGCGCAACCCCUGUAGUUAGUUGCCAGCAGUUCGGCUGGGCACUCUAGCUAGACUGCCUGCGAAAGCAGGAGGAAGGCGGGGAUGACGUCUAGUCCGCAUGGCCCUUACGGCCUGGGCUACACACGUGCUACAAUGGUUGCUACAGAGCGCUGCAACACGGCGACGUGAAGCCAAUCGCUUAAAAGCAACCUCAGUUCGGAUUGGAGUCUGCAACUCGACUCCAUGAAGCCGGAAUCGCUAGUAAUCGCGAAUCAGCUACGUCGCGGUGAAUACGUUCCCGGGGCUUGUACACACCGCCCGUCAAGCCAUGGGAGUAGGUUUCACCUGAAGUCACUGGGAGCUUAAGGCAGGUGCCGAGGGUGGGGCUUAUGACUGGGGCUAAGUCGUAACAAGGUAGGUGUACCGGGGUGCGCCUG